AGCGAACGCUGGCGGCAGGCCUAACACAUGCAAGUCGAACGAACCUUUCGGGGUUAGUGGCGGACGGGUGAGUAACACGUGGGAACGUGCCGUUAGGUUCGGAAUAACUCAGGGAAACUUGUGCUAAUACCGAAUGUGCCCUUCGGGGGUAAGAUUUAUCGCUUUUAGAGCUGCCCGAGUCUGAUUAGCUAGUUGGUUGAGGUAAUGGCUCACCAAGGCGACGAUCAGUAGCUGGUCUGAGAGGAUGAUCAGCCACAUUGGGACUGAGACACGGCCCAAACUCCUACGGGAGGAAGCAGUGGGGAAUCUUGCGCAAUGGGCGAAAGCCUGACGCAGCCAUGCCGCGUGAAUGAUGAAGGUCUUAGGAUUGUAAAAUUCUUUCACCGGGGACGAUAAUGACGGUACCCGGAGAAGAAGCCCCGGCUAACUUCGUG
rnacentral:rRNA from 1 species